rnacentral:rRNA from 1 species
GUCAGCAGCCGCGGGAACACCGGCGGCCCGAGUGGUGAUCGUGAUUAUUGGGUCUAAAGGGUCCGUAGCCGGUUUGGUCAGUACCUCCGGGAAAUCUGAUAGCUCAACUAUUAGGCUUUCGGGGGAUACUGCCAGACUUGGAACCGGGAGAGGUAAGAGGUACUACAGGGGUAGGAGUGAAAUCUUGUAAUCCCUGUGGGACCACCUGUGGCGAAGGCGUCUUACCAGAACGGGUUCGACGGUGAGGGACGAAAGCUGGGGGCACGAACCGGAUUAGAUACCCGGGUAGUCCCAGCCGUAAACGAUGCUCGCUAGGUGUCAGGCAUGGCGCGACCGUGUCUGGUGCCGCAGGGAAGCCGUGAAGCGAGCCACCUGGGAAGUACGGCCGCAAGGCUGAAACUUAAAGGAAUUGGCGGGGGAGCACAACAACGGGUGGAGCCCUGCGGUUUAAUUGGACUCAACGCCGGACAACUCACCCGGGGCGACAGCAAUAUGUAGGCCAAGCUGAAGACUUUGCCUGAAUCGCUGAGGAGUGGUGCAUGG